AUGAACGCUAGCGACAGGCUUAACACAUGCAAGUCGAGGGGCAGCGGGGGUAGCAAUACCCGCCGGCGACCGGCGCACGGGUGAGUAACGCGUAUGCAACUUACCUAUCAGAGGGGGAUAACCCGGCGUAAGUCGGACUAAUACCGCAUGAAGCAGGGGCCCCGCAUGGGGAUAUUUGCUAAAGAUUCAUCGCUGAUAGAUAGGCAUGCGUUCCAUUAGGCAGUUGGCGGGGUAACGGCCCACCAAACCGACGAUGGAUAGGGGUUCUGAGAGGAAGGUCCCCCACAUUGGUACUGAGACACGGACCAAACUCCUACGGGAGGCAGCAGUGAGGAAUAUUGGUCAAUGGGCGCGAGCCUGAACCAGCCAAGUCGCGUGAGGGAUGAAGGUUCUAUGGAUCGUAAACCUCUUUUAUAAGGGAAUAAAGUGCGGGACGUGUCCCGUUUUGUAUGUACCUUAUGAAUAAGGAUCGGCUAACUCCGUGCCAGCAGCCGCGGUAAUACGGAGGAUCCGAGCGUUAUCCGGAUUUAUUGGGUUUAAAGGGUGCGUAGGCGGCCUUUUAAGUCAGCGGUGAAAGUCUGUGGCUCAACCAUAGAAUUGCCGUUGAAACUGGGGGGCUUGAGUAUGUUUGAGGCAGGCGGAAUGCGUGGUGUAGCGGUGAAAUGCUUAGAUAUCACGCAGAACCCCGAUUGCGAAGGCAGCCUGCCAAGCCAUGACUGACGCUGAUGCACGAAAGCGUGGGGAUCAAACAGGAUUAGAUACCCUGGUAGUCCACGCAGUAAACGAUGAUCACUAGCUGUUUGCGAUACAGUGUAAGCGGCACAGCGAAAGCGUUAAGUGAUCCACCUGGGGAGUACGCCGGCAACGGUGAAACUCAAAGGAAUUGACGGGGGCCCGCACAAGCGGAGGAACAUGUGGUUUAAUUCGAUGAUACGCGAGGAACCUUACCCGGGUUUGAACGCAUUCGGACCGAGGUGGAAACACCUUUUCUAGCAAUAGCCGUUUGCGAGGUGCUGCAUGGUUGUCGUCAGCUCGUGCCGUGAGGUGUCGGCUUAAGUGCCAUAACGAGCGCAACCCUUGCCACUAGUUACUAACAGGUAAAGCUGAGGACUCUGGUGGGACUGCCAGCGUAAGCUGCGAGGAAGGCGGGGAUGACGUCAAAUCAGCACGGCCCUUACAUCCGGGGCGACACACGUGUUACAAUGGCGUGGACAAAGGGAAGCCACCUGGCGACAGGGAGCGAAUCCCCAAACCACGUCUCAGUUCGGAUCGGAGUCUGCAACCCGACUCCGUGAAGCUGGAUUCGCUAGUAAUCGCGCAUCAGCCAUGGCGCGGUGAAUACGUUCCCGGGCCUUGUACACACCGCCCGUCAAGCCAUGGGAGCCGGGGGUACCUGAAGUCCGUAACCGAAAGGAUCGGCCUAGGGUAAAACUGGUGACUGGGGCU
rnacentral:rRNA from 1 species